rnacentral:rRNA from 1 species
GUGGGGAAUCUUCCGCAAUGGACGAAAGUCUGACGGAGCAACGCCGCGUGAACGAUGACGGCCUUCGGGUUGUAAAGUUCUGUUAUACGGGACGAAUGGCGUAGCGGUCAAUACCCGUUACGAGUGACGGUACCGUAAGAGAAAGCCACGGCUAACUACGUGCCAGCAGCCGCGGUAAUACGUAGGUGGCAAGCGUUGUCCGGAAUUAUUGGGCGUAAAGGGCGCGCAGGCGGCGUCGUAAGUCGGUCUUAAAAGUGCGGGGCUUAACCCCGUGAGGGGACCGAAACUGCGAUGCUAGAGUAUCGGAGAGGAAAGCGGAAUUCCUAGUGUAGCGGUGAAAUGCGUAGAUAUUAGGAGGAACACCAGUGGCGAAAGCGGCUUUCUGGACGACAACUGACGCUGAGGCGCGAAAGCCAGGGGAGCGAACGGGAUUAGAUACCCGAGUAGUCC